rnacentral:rRNA from 1 species
AUGACUCAAUAUUGCCUGAAAUUAAUACGGCAUCUAGUUCUCAUCAAAUCAGUUGACGGUACAUGGCAGGAACAAGUAAAGAACAUAUCACCAUACCAGCAGGAGACCUCAACUAGACAUGGAAAUGAUAAAUCAACCCCUAAGCGGACAACAUCUGUUGGUGGGAACGAAUCACAUCAAGAGGAUUCACAUGAUUUAGUGAUUGAGGCUAUUGUACCAGGAGAGAAGGAACUGCUAUCUGUUCCAAAGAUUCAUGAAAAACAACAUUUAUCAAAGGAUGUACUUCUUAAUAGGAUCAUAGAGAAAAGAAUUAAUUUAGUUGACAUGGUUUUCUCCUUGAGAGAGAAGAAUAUCCAUGAUAGACAAGCAAACGGGGUCGCAAUGUUUGACAUACAUAGGCACAAUGGAGUGGUGAAACUGAGAAAAGCAUGGAGAAUAGUUGUGGAACAUCUUCGAAGGUCUCAAGCUGAUUCAGAGGGAAGAGGUGGUCAAACAAAGCUAAUAGUUGAAUGGCUCACUAUGCUAACAAACCUAAUAGUUGAAUGGUUCACUAUGCUACUAUAUGCGUUUCUGAAGCACAUGAGGUACCAGCGUGAGAAGCUUGACUUACAGCAACCGAAGGUGUGUACUAAGGAGUUGCAGUUGAAGGAAAAGUUCCUUCACGAAGCAAAAUAUGGCCAUUUAGAUCAUACUUUUGAUCAGCAUAUUUAUUUACCGGAUUCAGGCUUUGCUAUUGAGGAAUUCAGCCACUUUAGCUCCUGUGUUGAUACAGCUACUUUGGCAAACUGUCCGCAGUCUUUGCACAAAACUUCAGCGAUGGAAGUUACAUUGGUUGGUAGUGUGAUUCCAUCUGAUGUUAUCAAUGCAGAAGCAGCGAUAUGUACCUGUAACAUAUAUCAGGAAUCUUCAAGUAGUGACCAUAGAAGGACUGAACAUAUUGAACGACAGAGUGGUGUGGGUUUGCAACCAUUACCGCGAGAGACUGACCAACAUGUAGGAGAUGGACAAUGGGAGCGAUACUCAUGCAGAUCCACCUUACUUAGAACCAUAGACUUUGGCUCCUUUGCCCAGCCAGACUUCCUUGCAAAUGUCUAA